UACGGGGGGGCGAAGCGUUGUUCGGAAUUACUGGGCGUAAAGGGCUCGUAGGCGGCCAACUAAGUCGGACGUGAAAUCCCUCGGCUUAACCGGGGAACUGCGUCCGAUACUGGAUGGCUUGAGUUCGGGAGAGGGAUGCGGAAUUCCAGGUGUAGCGGUGAAAUGCGCAGAUAUCGGGAGGAACACCGGUGGCGAAGGCGGUUCUCUGGGCCUGUACUGACGCUGAGGAGCGAAAGCGUGGGGAGCGAACAGG
rnacentral:rRNA from 1 species